CCUUCGGGAGGCAGCAGUGGGGGAUAUUGCACAAUGGGGGAAACCCUGAUGCAGCGACGCCGCGUGUGGGAAGACGGUCCUCUGGAUUGUAAACCACUGUCCCCAGGGACGAAGAUGACGGUACCUGGGGAGGAAGCUCCGGCUAACUACGUGCCAGCAGCCGCGGUAAUACGUAGGGAGCGAGCGUUGUCCGGAAUUACUGGGUGUAAAGGGAGCGUAGGCGGGGAUGCAAGUUGGGUGUCAAAACUACCGGCUCAACUGGUAGUCGCACUCAAAACUGCAGCUCUUGAGUGAAGUAGAGGCAGGCGGAAUUCCUAGUGUAGCGGUGAAAUGCGUAGAUAUUAGGAGGAACACCAGUGGCGAAGGCAGCGUACCGGCUCCACACUGACGCUGAGGCACGAAAGCGUGGGUAUCGAACAGGAUUAGAUACCCUUGUAGUC
rnacentral:rRNA from 1 species